CCUACGGGAGGCUGCAGUGAGGAAUAUUGGUCAAUGGGCGCAAGCCUGAACCAGCCAAGUCGCGUGAGGGAAGACGGCCCUACGGGUUGUAAACCUCUUUUGCCGGGGAGCAAGCCUGAGCACGUGUGCCCAGGCGGAGAGUACCCGGAGAAAAAGCAUCGGCUAACUCCGUGCCAGCCGCCGCGGUAAUACGGAAGGUCCGGGCGUUAUCCGGAUUUAUUGGGGUUAAGGGGAGCGUAGGCCGCAUGUCAAGCGUGCUGGGAAAUGUCCGGGCUCAACCCGGGCCUUGCAGCGCGAACUGGCGUGCGUGAGUCCGCGGAAGGCAGGCGGAAUUCGUGGUGUAGCGGUGAAAUGCUUAGAUAUGACGAAGAACCCCGAUUGCGAAGGCAGCUUGCUGCAGCGGAACUGACGCUGAUGCUCGAAAGCGCGGGUAUCGAACAGGAUUAGAUACCCCUGUAGUC
rnacentral:rRNA from 1 species